rnacentral:rRNA from 1 species
CGGGAGAAGGGACGCCGCAGAUUGUGAUUCAACUUGCUUGAUGAGCAUGACGCGGCCGCAGAUAAUCGGCCUGGGCGACUGUUUACUAAAAACACAGGUCUCUGCUAAGUCGCAAGACGAUGUAUAGGGACUGACACCUGCCCGGUGCUGGAGCGUUAAGGGGAAGGGUUAGCCUUCAAUUAUGUUGGCGAAGCUUCGAACCGAAGCCCCAGUAAACGGCGGCCGUAACUAUAACGGUCCUAAGGUAGCGAAAUUCCUCGUCGGGUAAAUUCCGACCCGCACGAAUGGUGCAACGACUUGGGCACUGUCUCAACCAUGGACUCGGCGAAGUUGCAGUAGCGGUGAAGAUACCGUUUACCCGCGGAAGGACAGAAAGACCCCGUGAACCUUUACUAUAGCUUGAUAUUGGGUUUCGUCAUAUGGUGUGUAGGAUAGGCGGGAGACAUUGAAACCGGGACGCUAGUACCGGUGGAGUCAACCUUGAAAUACCGCCCUCUGUAUGUUGGAAUUCUAACGGAGAUCCGUAAUCCGGAUCCCGGACAGUUUCAGGUGGGUAGUUUGACUGGGGUGGUCGCCUCCCAAAUGAUAACGGAGGCGCCCUAAGGUUCCCUCAGCGCGGUCGGCAAUCGCGCGUCGAGUGUAAACGCACAAGGGAGCUUGACUGCGAGACAUACGAGUCGAGCAGGUACGAAAGUAGGGGUUAGUGAUCCUGCGGCACUGAGUGGAAAGGCCGUGGCUCAUCGGAUAAAAGGUACUCCGGGGAUAACAGGCUUAUCGCCACCGAGAGUUCGUAUCGACGUGGCGGGUUGGCACCUCGAUGUCGGCUCAGCGCAUCCUGGGGCUGGACCAGGUCCCAAGGGUUGGGCUGUUCGCCCAUUAAAGCGCUACGCGAGCUGGGUUUAGAACGUCGCGAGACAGUUCGGUCCCUAUCCUCCGCGGGCGUAGGAAGUUUGAGAGGUUCUGUCUUUAGUACGAGAGGACCGAGAUGGACAAACCUCUAGUGUACCGGUUGUCACGCCAGUGGCACCGCCGGGUAGCUAUGUUUGGAACAGGAUAAGCGCUGAAAGCAUCUAAGUGCGAAACCUGCCUCAAGAUAAGACUUCCCGAUCGUAAGAUCCUCAAGGCCACUUGGAGACUACAAGUUUGAUAGGCUGCAGGUGUACGCAUGGUAACAUGUUCAGCCGAGCAGUACUAAUCGGCCGUGAGGCUUCAUCAC